CUGAAAACCUAGCUUACUUUAUUCUUAUGAAUAUACCACCUUAACACACACUAAAUAACGCAUUUUGUACACUAAGUAAAGGCGAUUAAAAGAUGUCUUAAAGCUAUAGAAACUAGUACCGCAAGGGAAAAGUGAAAUAUUAGUGAAAAACCUCAAGCACAAAAAAGUAGAGCUAUAGCCUCGUACCUUUUGCAUCAUGGUCUAACUAGUUCAAUCAAGCAAAAUGAAUUUUAAGUUUGACUUCCCGAAACUAGGUGAGCUACUUAAAAACAGCCUUACGGGCCAACCCGUCUCUGUUGCAAAAGAGUGGGAAGAUUUUUAAGUAGAGGUGACAGACCUACCGAACCUAGAGAUAGCUGGUUAUUCAGGAAAAGGAUUUAAGUCCUACCUUAAGUUUACUGUACAUAAUAAUACAUAAUUAACUUUAAGAGCUAUUCAAAUAAGGUACAGCCUAUUUGAAACAGGAUACAACCUCC
rnacentral:rRNA from 1 species